rnacentral:lncRNA from 1 species
GCCGCGUCUGGACCCCCUUCUCCUCGCCAACCCUGGCCACCGCACCAAAAUGCUAGCCACCACCCCCUCCUCGGCCUGCUCGUGAUGGCCUCCUCUUCUCUCUCUGGAGACCGCAUUCCCCCCUCCCCUCUCUCCUCCCAUGCUGAUUCCCUCUGGAACCUUCUCGACCAAGCCCUUCAGAGCUUUUUCUUUUUUUCCGUCAAAUCUCCUCCCCUUCUUCUUGCCACC